rnacentral:RNase_MRP_RNA from 1 species
UUUGUAGUCGAAGAAUCGUCACUGAUCGAAGCUUACAUAAGGAACGGAUUUUAUCUGUUCAAUUGAAAUGAUAUCAUUUCUAUAGCUUUGGGUAGAAAGUCUCCGACCAGUCCGUAAGCGGAAACGUAAUGAGAUUUAAAAACUUUUCAAAUGUUUAAAUCAACUCAUUAAUCGUGUUGGUUUUCUGUCACGGUUUCUAUCCAGAGGCUGUUUUAGAAGCCUCUGUGUCUUGGGUACUGAAGUAUUUCUUUACUUUAAACGAAAGUUAUGACGAUUGCCCGAGCGUUUUUAUCUCUUUUUUUGUUACUUCUGUUUACAGGGGUGAUUAGGGAGGAGGUAGCUUGGGUAACCCAAUGGAGCUUACUUUCUCGGCUCACGAAACUCU